GUGAGGAAUUUUCCGCAAUGGGCGAAAGCCUGACGGAGCAAUGCCGCGUGAAGGAUGAAGGCCUAUGGGUUGUAAACUUCUUUUCUCAGAAAAGAAUUAUGACGGUAUCUGAGGAAUAAGCAUCGGCUAACUCUGUGCCAGCAGCCGCGGUAAGACAGAGGAUGCAAGCGUUAUCCGGAAUGAUUGGGCGUAAAGCGUCUGUAGGUUGUUUAAAAAGUAUUCUGUAAAAGGUUAGGGCUUAACCCUAGAUAGGCAGAAUAAACUUUUAAGCUAGAGUUGAGUAGAGGCAGAAGGAAUUCCCUGUGGAGCGGUGAAAUGCGUAGAUAUCGGGAGGAACACCAAAGGCGAAGGCACUCUGCUGGGCCAAUACUAACACUGAGAGACGAAAGCGAGGGGAGCAAAUGGGAUUAGAUACCCUUGUAGUCC
rnacentral:rRNA from 1 species